rnacentral:rRNA from 1 species
UACGUAGGGGGCAAGCGUUGUCCGGAAUCAUUGGGCGUAAAGCGCGUGUAGGCGGUCCGGUAAGUCCGCUGUGAAAGUCGGGGGCUCAACCUCGGAUGCCGAUGGAUACUGUCGGGCUUGAGUACGGAAGAGGCGAGUGGAAUUCCUGGUGUAGCGGUGAAAUGCGCAGAUAUCAGGAGGAACACCGGUGGCGAAGGCGGGUCUCUGGGCCGAUGACUGACGUGAGGAGCGAAAGCGUGGGGAGCGAACAGG